rnacentral:misc_RNA from 1 species
UACGGAGGAUCCAAGCGUUAUCCGGAAUUACUGGGCGUAAAGAGUUGCGUAGGUGGCAUAGUAAGCGGACAGUGAAAUCGUGUGGCUCAACCAUACACCCAUUGUCUGAACUGCUAAGCUAGAGUAUGAGAGAGGUAGAUGGAAUUCCCUGUGUAGGAGUGAAAUCCGUAGAUAUAGGGAGGAGCACCGAUGGCGUAGGCAGUCUACUGGCUCAUUACUGACACUAAGGCACGAAAGCGUGGGGAGCAAACGGG